rnacentral:rRNA from 1 species
UAGGGAAUCUUCCGCAAUGGACGCAAGUCUGACGGAGCAACGCCGCGCGAGUGAAGAAGGAUUUCGGUUCGUAAAACUCUGUUGUUAGAGAAGAACAGCGCAUAGAGUAACUGUUAUGCGUGUGACGGUAUCUAACCAGAAAGCCACGGCUAACUACGUGCCAGCAGCCGCGGUAAUACGUAGGUGGCAAGCGUUGUCCGGAUUUAUUGGGCGUAAAGCGAGCGCAGGCGGUCAAUUAAGUCUGAUGUGAAAGCCCCCGGCUCAACCGGGGAGGGUCAUUGGAAACUGGUUGACUUGAGUGCAGAAGAGGAGAGUGGAAUUCCAUGUGUAGCGGUGAAAUGCGUAGAUAUAUGGGGGAACACCGGUGGCGAAAGCGGCUCUCUGGUCUGUAACUGACGCUGAGGCUAGAAAGCGUGGGGAGCGAACAGG